rnacentral:rRNA from 1 species
CCUACGGGGGGCAGCAGUGAGGAAUAUUGGUCAAUGGCCGGGAGGCUGAACCAGCCAAGUCGCGUGAGGGAAGACGGCCCUACGGGUUGUAAACCUCUUUUGUCAGGGAGCAAUGUGCAGGUCGGGACCUGUUGUGAGAGUUCCCGAAGAAAAAGCAUUGGCAAACCACGUGCCAGCAGACGCGGUAAUACGGAGGAUGCGAGGGUUAAUCGGAUUUGUUGGGUUUAAAGGGUGCGCAGGCGGAGGGACAAGUCAGCGGUAAAAUCGCGGGGCUCAACCCCGCUCCGCCGUUGAAACUGUGUCCCUUGAGUGCGCGAAGGGUAGGCGGAAUGCGUGGUGUAGCGGUGAAAUGCAUAGAUAUCACGCAGAACUCCGAUCGCGAAGGCAGCCUACCGGCGCGCAACUGACGCUCAUGCACGAAAGCGUGGGUAUCGAACAGGAUUAGAUACCCGGGUAGUC